rnacentral:lncRNA from 10 species
GGGCGUGGCCUGAGGGGCGAGAGCCCCCAAGGCUGUGGGUAUGAGGCCGGGGCCCUGCACCGGAAGGGAGGGCGGAAGCCACGGGACGUGGAGCAGAUGGUGAGGAUAGUGGGGAGGUAGCAGCAGAGGAUGACCCGAGGCAAAAGUGCAAGUGAAGAAAAGUCGCCUUGCCGGGCAGAGGAAAUUACUCCAGGAUUUGAAUCAUCACAAGAGAUUCACCAGAGGAUUUUAUACACUUGGGCUGUGGCAGCAGACUAAUUACAUCACAGCACUAGAGCUGAGAUACUGGCUGGGUGGAUUUCAGCAAAUUUCCAAGGGCACAUGACAUGUGGGCACAAAAGCCGGGAUUUCACACCAGGGGAUAAAGUAUAUCAGAAAUGAAGGCUGGGGUAAGUACAAGCAGUUAAGUGCAAUACUUUGUUCUGAGCUUUCUGACAACCAACCCAACCAUUGGAAAUAUAAAGGUUUACAUGGCUCUCAUUUUCUUUUCAAAAAAUACAAAAAGAAAAUUUUAAUGAUACACACUAGUUUCUCAAGAGGCUCAAAUUUUUUUCCUGAUUUUUAUUCUUAGAGCAAUUUCUUAUAUGGGUCUUUAUAUAACAUUUAAAGGGCAGAAUAAUAGACAAUAUCUCCCCGGAUACUUUUUAUCAGCAAGACAGGAAUGUUCCCCAAAUGACACUGCUUAAGAGAACUUUGAGGAGAACUGAGGGCAAGAUACAAGCCAUGGUUCUAUACAGAUAAGUCUACGGAAGCUGCAGAAAUAACAUUCCAGAUCCCCAGGAAUCCACCCACCCACCCCUCCGACUUUGGCCGAACACCAUGGCUGGCUGCCGUGUGAAGAAUGGACUGUAGGGGGUGCCAGAGUGGCUGUGGGAAACAUCCCCUAGAAAUCUAGAAUUCAAAGCACUUACUUUGAGUGAUAUAUCCACAAGAAAGAGCCUUCUGUGCUAAAAGCAAAA